rnacentral:miRNA from 1 species
UGAAAGUCCUUCACAAACAAC